CGGAGGGAGGUCUGAAAGGCUGAGGAAGAAAGCAGAGCGCGGAGCGACUGCGUGCAUGAGAAGUAGCUACACACCUGUAACUGUAAGCCAUGGACGAAGACGCAGCAACUUGGAGUGGGAAUGUGAGGGCUCUGUCAUUAGUCGCAGUGUAUUUGCUGGCUUGCAAGACUGAGAAGACCCCCAAAACAUCAGAUGAGCUUGCCCUAAUGCAGGCAGGGAUAAGGAAAAGGUUAAAACACAGUCUGUGAUGAGUUCUCACGCUGAGAUAAGUGCAGCAUGGUUCAUUGUUCGCCACAACAAAUUGAAUUCAAUUCAGUUUUAUUGAGGAACCUAUCUUGUGAAAAACAUGCUUGAUUGCAAAUUCUUUGCUUUUAGAUAUCAAGCCUGUUAGAGAAGUACCCCAGAAUAGCCUCGAUCUCAGGCGGUUGGUUGUUC